UAAGAUUUUAAGUUAAACAAACUGUAUGCCUUCAAAGCAUAAUAUAAUUCUAAUUAAAUCUUAG
rnacentral:tRNA from 1 species